UGAAAACCAGCCCUGCCCUGACUCUGCAGCUCUGGCAGAGGAGCUCAGCCCUAAAUUUCCUGACCUCCCAUUCAGAGAUCAGCACUGAACACAGACGUUUUACCAUGGACUUGGGGAUCAGCCUGGUUUUCCUUGUCUUUAUUUUAAAAGGUGUCCAGAGUGACGUGCAGCUUGUGGAGUCUGGCGGAGGCUUAGUGCAGCCUGGAAAGUCCCUGAAACUCUCCUGUGCAGCCUCUGGAUUUACCUUCAGUAAUUACUACAUGCACUGGGUCCGCCAGGCUCCAGGGAAGGGGCUGGAGUGGGUGUCACGGAUUAGUAAUGAUGGUGGUAGCACCGCUUAUGUCGACGCCGUGAGGGGCCGAUUCACCAUCUCCAGAGACAACGCCAAGAACACCCUGUACCUGCAAAUGAACAGUCUGAGGUCUGAGGACACGGCCACAUAUUACUGUGCAAGAGACACAGUGAGUGAGUGUAACUGAGAGCUCAGACACAAA